CCAAAAGGGAGUUUUUUUACCUACAAUAACAUUAAGAAACAUAAGUGCCAAAUAAACAACAGUAAAAAGAAAGAAAUCAACAAUAACAUAAGCUCUAAAUCUUUGAGGGUCACUAUACAAUACCAUGAAAGUUUUUGUGUUAGGUAAUUUUGAGGCAUGUAUCCUCCAUGGGCAAUCCUCAUCAGUGCAAUUAGCCCUAAAUCUUUGAGGGUCACUAUACUGCGUGCCAAAGGAC
rnacentral:lncRNA from 1 species